UACAUGGGGUGCAAACGUUGCUCGGAAUCAUUGGGCGUAAAGCGCGCGUAGGCGGUUACUUAAGUUGGAUGUGAAAGCCCUCGGCUUAACUGAGGAAGUGCAUCCAAAACUGAGUAGCUAGAGUACGAAAGAGGGUCGCGGAAUUCCCGGUGUAGAGGUGAAAUUCGUAGAUAUCGGGAGGAACACCGGUGGCGAAGGCGGCACUCGUGG
rnacentral:rRNA from 1 species